AUGGCUCAGGAUGAACGCUAGCGACAGGCCUAACACAUGCAAGUCGAGCGGCAGCACCUCGGGUGGCGAGCGGCGCACGGGUGAGUAACGCGUAUGUAACCUGCCCAUGAGUGGGGGAUAGCCCGGUGAAAACCGGAUUAAUACCCCAUGACACCAUUAUCUGACAUCAUUCAAUGGUUAAAGAUUCAUUGCUCAUGGAUGGACAUGCGUUGGAUUAGCUGGUUGGCGGGGCAACGGCCCACCAAGGCGACGAUCCAUAGGGGUUCUGAGAGGAAGGUCCCCCACAUUGGUACUGAGACACGGACCAAACUCCUACGGGAGGCAGCAGUGAGGAAUAUUGGUCAAUGGGCGGAAGCCUGAACCAGCCAAGUCGCGUGAAGGAUGAAAGGCAUUACGUGUUGUAAACUUCUUUAGCUGUGGAGAAAUAAGGUGGUCGAGACCACCGAUGCUAGUACACAGAGAAUAAGGAUCGGCUAACUCCGUGCCAGCAGCAGC
rnacentral:rRNA from 1 species